GAUGAACGCUGGCGGCGUGCCUAAUACAUGCAAGUCGAGCGAAUGGAUUAAGAGCUUGCUCUUAUGAAGUUAGCGGCGGUCGGGUGAGUAACACGUGGGUAACCUGCCCAUAAGACUGGGAUAACUCCGGGAAACCGGGGCUAAUACCGGAUAAUAUUUUGAACUGCAUGGUUCAAAAUUGAAAGGCGGCUUCGGCUGUCACUUAAGGAUGGACCCGCGUCGCAUUAGCUAGUUGGUGAGGUAACGGCUCACCAAGGCAACGAUGCGUAGCCGACCUGAGAGGGUGAUCGGCCACACUGGGACUGAGACACGGCCCAGACUCCUACGGGAGGCAGCAGUAGGGAAUCUUCCGCAAUGGACGAAAGUCUGACGGAGCAACGCCGCGUGAGUGAUGAAGGCUUUCGGGUCGUAAAACUCUGUUGUUAGGGAAGAACAAGUGCUAGUUGAAUAAGCUGGCACCUUGACGGUACCUAACCAGAAAGCCACGGCUAACUACGUGCCAGCAGCCGCCGUAA
rnacentral:rRNA from 1 species